ACGCCCCUUCAAACAGAGCAUUCCAGUCAGAGGGCUAAAAUCGGGACAUAAAAAUGCCUUUUAUUUCUAAAUUUUAACAAUACAAGUACACAUCAGGAAACAUAAAAAAAGCAUUUAAAAACGAAAAUAAUCCAUGUCAUGGGGACCUUUAAGAGAAGAGACGGUUUCUCGGAAGAGAAGUUCAUCAGUCGAGGUGGAGCGUUGACUUUGUCGAGUCAUCCAGUUUAGCGGAAAAUUCACUGGUAACAACAACAACAAAGAAGAAAGACCAAAAAUAUAAUUCUACAGAAGAUGAUGGCUGUGGUGAAACAAGUGCUCAAAUAAUGGAACUAAGACCUGUGGGAGAUCUUCAGACAUGAAGAGAUUGAGAAGUUAAACAAAAUCAAAGAAGAUUUUCAAUAUUAGUGCCAAUUCGGUAUGAAAACAGAUAGAGUGAAAGCUGAGUGGAAAGCAGGAGGAUGAUUAUAAGGACAGACAAUAAGAGCAGCACAGCUGACACUGCAGCACCAAUGACAGGAAGCAGAGAGGCUGAAAGAGACACAUGUUUGAGUUAAACUUCCAUUACCAGCAGUUCAACAUGUUUUUAGACUCUUAUACAUCAUUACCUGUGAUAGUGAUGAGCAGCAGUUCAGAGUCAGAUGAACGGAAGGAGCGUGAGGAGACACUGACUUCAUAAACACAACUGUAGUUUCCCUCGUGUGAAUAAUCUGCUUCAGGAAAGAAGAA